UACGUAGGGGGCUAGCGUUGUCCGGAAUCAUUGGGCGUAAAGCGCGCGUAGGCGGCCUGGUAAGUCCGCUGUGAAAGUCAAAGGCUCAACCUUUGAAUGUCAGCGGAUACUGCCAGGCUAGAGUCCGGAAGAGGCGAGUGGAAUUCCUGGUGUAGCGGUGGAAUGCGCAGAUAUCAGGAGGAACACCAACGGCGAAGGCAGCUCGCUGGGACGGUACUGACGCUGAGGCGCGAAAGCGUGGGGGAGCGAACAGG
rnacentral:rRNA from 1 species